rnacentral:lncRNA from 1 species
ACCCAAGCUGCUCCGAUCACUGAUACGAUCUCCACCUCUGGACCGUCACCAAUGCACUGAACUCAAACAAUAAUCAACAAUUACCAAAAUACCCCUGGAAACCACUGGUCAACCCUUGGUCAAAGACAAGGUCAAAGUCAACCCCUGAUUGACCCUACUCGCCGAGUCAACCCGAUGACUCGCCGAGUUCCCAUACUCAGAGCUCACUCAAUCCGCGACCUAACUCGCCGAGUUACCCCGAGACUCGCCGAGUCCCACAACUUCUAAGUCCUCUCGCACACAACUCACUGAGUCAUCCCUUGACUCAUCGAUUCUCGACUCAACCAGAGAAUAUCAGAACUCUUCGACAAGACUCGCCGAGUAUAUGGCUAUCUUCAACCUACUCGCCGAGUUGUUCAUACAACUCGCCGAGUUCCAGGCCAUCUUCAUCCAACUCGCCGAGUUGUUCUUCCAACUCGCCGAGUUCCAGCUCAUCUUCAAGCAACUCGUCGAGUACACCCAUGUGACUCGCCGAGUACCACCGGUCUGAAUCCAUACAGAAGCAUUCCAGGCCAUGCAAUUGCUCCAAAACAUAGAUCUAGCCUCCUACCACUCAUCCAUCACGUAAAGUGGCAAACUUUACGUGAAUCCUAAGAGAUCUAGGCCAUUUGCACAUUGGUUUAGGGUUUGGGACAUGUAAGCUUCACUAAACACUCCAACACAGGGACUUUCAUGCUCUCUGAUUCUUCUCCAUUCCAGAUCUGAGGUAGCAACCUCAGAUCUAACCUCUAGACUUCCAAUUACAACCAUAGACAAGUUCCCAUAAACCCCAAAAUGAAGAAACAACAUACAAUCAGUCCAAGAACGAGAUAUUACCUCCAAUGGACGCCCCAACUGCAAUGUAAUUCGAAUCCAAGCAAAGCCCCUUGCUCCAAGCCUUCAAUCUCUCAAAAUUCCUUCAAUAAUCAUCUCCUUCAAGCUCCCAAUUGAGAUAUGAUCACUCACACACGAAGGCUAAGGGUUUCUGGACUUGGAGAUGAAUAAAGAGGCUGAGAGUGGGCUGUUAUGUUCUUUAUAUAGGGCUCAACCCCGGGAAUUAGGGUUUUCUCCACUCAGCGCCUACUCGCCGAGUCCUCCUUACUGACUCGCCGAGUCGGCUACUUAACACGCGACCCAGUCGCGACUCUACUCGCCGAGUCCAUCCAUGGACUCGCCGAGUCACUCUUCCACAACUUACUCUUUUAGCCCUUCAACUCUACUCUUGAUAUUUCGGGAUGUUACAAUUCUCCCCCACUUAAAUUAGGCUUCGCCCUCGAAGCCUACAACAACUCAACUCCAAGGAUACUCCCACAACGCUCCACCUGGCCUUAACCGGACCAGGUCCCUCAAGGCAUACUUAUCGAAACUCGAACACACUUUCCCCUCCUUCACGGUGUCCUGACCACCGUCUCGAACCGGGCACCGACUGUACCCCUGAUUAUCAUUCUCAAUAACCGAGAAUUACCCAAGAUGCAACUCUGCUCUAAAUCUCAACAAUCACUCGACCCAUAAGGGUUAGAAAACCAUGAACCAUCGGAUCCCCGAUCCGAAUCCCACUCUAUCCAUUCCGGGACGACUGAGAGACCCAUUCUCAAUCUCAGAGCAACUCUCACGAGUUCUCCCCUUGCAACCGCAUACACAAGCUGAAGUAGUCUAACACCCUCAGGUUGGGAAAACCUGAUACAUUGAUAAUAUCCUCAAACAUCCCCCAGGAUGAACCACUAAUAUACACCCCAUACCCUGAUCAGAAUCACACUGAGGGUCCAAGACUCUCUCUCCCUGCAUCCCUUCCGAGCCUAUUGGCUCUACACUUGCAGAUUUCCCUCCGCGACCUCAGCAGACAUUCCAAACCGGAUGAGCUUCUACUCCACUGCCGCAAACACGUUGCUCAAUAACCAUAGUCGAAUUACUUUAAUCAUAACUCUGCUCUGCCGCUUUCACUUCCGUGAAAUUGCACUCCCUCUCGGAGUUACACACCUCUUACCUCUCUCUCUUCCUUUACCAAGGAAUCCACUCGGCCAUAAUGUCACUCCGACAAAUGCCACAGUGCACGUCUAACGCUACACCACCCUUUAGCGUGUCCGCUAUCCAUCCAACACACUUACUCUGACUCUCCUCGCAGGGACUCUCAAGCCCAUGCACUACCUCAACUAACCAAGAUCACUGCCCGGGGCCAGACCUUCCAAUGCAAUCACACUGCAACAUACACAAUCCGCAAUCUCAAACUGAUCCAACAAUACCAGCAGAGUCUCCAGCAUGACUGGACCGACUCACAUAACACAUAUUAGCCACUCGAGGCUAUAUCUCUGUGGGUCCGUACACCCAAACUCUGUGAACCCUCAGGUUCUAACUCUGGGAACCUUCCGGUUCCAACUCUAUAAACAUGCACAACAUAAAUCCCAUAGAAUUAAUGCAGUACAACACAUCACGUACAUAAAGCAUACAAAUACUCUGAUCACAUAACCCCGGUUACCUACUCAAACUUGAUCCCGGCCUGCUUCCAGGUCUCCACAAACAAUUGCCCUAGGUCUGUAUCUCGCCCCGCAUGCCCGACACUCGCUCCUAUCAACCUAUACUCUGGGCUGACAGAACACUGCUGAAUGCCAGCAGCUAAGCACCCUCAAAUACUCAUCGAACUCGCAGAGAACUCUCCAAUUCUCCCCCACUUAAACACUAACUAACAACCACCAGUCGCCAUCAACGACCUUCCAGAACAACCCUGCACAAAGAAAACACUUACACACUGACUGCUUCCCACAAGCAUAAACAACCCUCAACAAAACUCAUCUCCUCACUGAUCAAUCCGCUCAAAAAGAAUCCGAUCUCCAAAUAUCCAUUCCACGACUACAGAUGCUACCCGACAUUCAACCCAAUGCCGCAUCUCCACUAAUAACCCUCACGAACGAUAACCAACGAUAGCACAAAACACCAAACUAUAAUCAUACCAAACCCUCAGGGAANAGCACAAAACGCCAAAAUAUAAUCAUACCAAACCCUCAGGGAACAACGGAUACCAAGACGAAAACACGAAACACAAAUCCAUAACCAAAAGCUCAACCCGCAAAACGACGAAUACCGCAUCGAAAUCCACACAAAGAUACAAGCACAAACAAUACACCGCAAUAAUCGCAAGAUAACAUGACAUCAAGAAAGAAACAUACCCGUAGCUGCAUCCGACACUGCUCUGACCUCCUCUGCCGCGAGCUGAUAAGCACGACCCUGAGCCCCUGGGGGCUCCGUUCCACCCUGACCUCCACCUGAAAUCCUCAAAGUGUCCGGUGCUGGAGCCUGCACCGGUCCUGCAGAAAGCUGUGGACAGUUGACCGUCAAAUGUCCAACCUGACAACAAUGAUAACAAAUCCUCAAAUCCCGAACCGACACUGACUGCCGACAAUCCCGCGCAUAGUGCUCCUCCCUUCCGCACUUGCGGCAUGCACCACCGGACCAACAAACUCCGGUAUGACCCCUCCCACACUUCCCACAAGUGUGGCCGCUCAGAUCCCCCAUUCUAACAUCAACGGUCCUGGACCGUUUCAACCUCUAACUCACGCCGGCUGGCGGCCUCCUGCAACUCCAACAAUGUCUCACACCUCUGCGCAGACACGAACUGUCUGAUAUCCCCCUUGAGCAUACUCAGAUAUCGGGACAUCUGAGCCUGCUCCGAAGCGAACUCAGGGCAAAACAUCGCCCUCUCAGUGAACAUCCUGGUGAUCUCAGUCACCGACUCCGAAUCCUGCUUCAGCUCAAGGAACUCCUGAGCCAAUCUCUCCCUCUCAACCUGCGGAACAUAGCGAGUGCUGAACAUCUCUCUGAACUGAUCCCAUGAAACCGCAGCCCUCUGCGCAUCCGAGUAUGACCCCGUGGUCAAUCUCCACGAAUCCUUCGCCCCGAGUCUCAACAGACUCAUAGCAUACCUCACCCUCAGAUCAGCAGGGCAUGAACACGUGAAGAAACACCCCUCCACGUCCGAUAACCACCUCAUAGCAACAAUCGGGUCCUGAACUCCAUUGAAGGUGGGAGGCUCCGUAUUAUCGAAGUCCUGAUACUGAAAAUCCCUAUCAGCUCCUCCCCCUGCCAUUGCUACAACCACUGUAGCCGCCGCGGCAGCCGUCUCCGCGAGAGUCGCAUAGCGCUCACCAAAAUACUCAACCAUGGCGGUCUUGAUAGACCCAAGCAGUUCCGGCAACUCAGCCCGAAACAAUGCAGCAACCUCAUCAUGCAGGAUCUCGCGAAUCCUCGCAUCCAACUCACUCGUGCUCAUCUGAUCGAUAACCUCAGAUGACACCGAUCCACCCGGAACUCUCUCUCCAGCUCCCGAUCCUGAUCCGGAUCCACUGUCAUCAUGCCUCGGAAUCUCCAUACUGAAAAACACCAUACCAAAUCUCCGACACUUCCCACAAUCCUGGGAUCUAACUCUCGCAACCCAACCCUAGAGAUCAUGGUUUCCCUGAUACGCGUAUGGGUCCUGUGCUUUCAGUAGUACGGGCCCAUACUACCUUCCACACCUACCCAUAUUUGUAUGAAGUACUACCACAAUACCCUAGAGAACAUGCAUAACAACGAUCAACCCUCACCCCUAGAGGAACACUGAGAAUCUCCCAUAAGGGACCCUAGGCUACAGGCAUCACAAAUCAGGCAACAUUAUCAUGAAUUCCUGAAGAUCCCUAGCCUAACUCUAGCAUGCAGCUCUAUCAAAGCUCAAUAAAACAAGUGUCAUGAAUGGUAAUUUGGGGUUACUUACUGGCUCCGGCUGAUCGUACCUCCACGUCCUCUUUUUACUUAAUUUGAAAACCAUUUUAAUUUCUCUUUUAAAACCUUCCUUGAUUUGAGACUGGAGUUACACGAGUGUUCCUCCAAUUCACUCAAACCAAGGCUCUGAUACCAACUUGUAACGACCAAAAUUUCAAAACAAUUAAAACUUUUCAAAAAAAAACAACCCAUUUUAAUAACGUUGUUACAAAAAGGUUUUCAAUACAUUAUUUAACAAAGUAUUUUUCCCAGGUUCAUAUCAUAAAACACCAACGCGAGGAAUGGUACGAUCACGCCUUUGCCUUGCCACAGACUCCUGAGAACCUGAAAACAUAAAACCACAACUGUAAGCCCGAAAGCUUAGUGAGAUACCCCCAAAAUACCAACCAUAUAUACGCCCAUCCAGGCCACGACCCUCCGGUCCAGAACAUAUCGCCUUCCGGCCCAUAACGCAAUGCCUUCCGGCCCAUAACAUAAAAACCAUACAUAUCUUAACAGAACAUAGAACGACCCCGCAUACCGGUUCACACUCUAGACCUAGCAAUCAUGCACAUAACACAUAAUCAUAUAACAGCUCACAGACAGCAAUCGAUCAACAGAUCGCAUAACAUAACAUUACUCUAACCAAGAUACCAUCCUAGCCGGUCACUAGCAUGAGAUCACCCUACGAAUCAGUCAACAUACUAAAAGUACACAUACGCCUUUCUAGGCUAUGCGCUUCCGGUCCACAUCGCAAUGCCUUCCGGCCCAUAACAUGUAAUGCCUUCCGGCCCACAACAUAUAACGCCUUCCGGCCCAUAUCCCGCAAUAUCAUAGCAAUAGACAACUACCCGGAUUUCCAUCCGAUAAAAUGGUUGGUGUUGGUGCCAUAAACCCUAUGGAUAUAGUAAGGAUAACUCACCUCGAAACUUCCGACUGAACAGAUAACCCAAGCUGCUCCGAUCACUGAUACGAUCUCCACCUCUGGACCGCCACCAAUGCACUGAACUCAAACAAUAAUCAACAAUUACCAAAAUACCCCUGGAAACCACUGGUCAACCCUUGGUCAAAGACAAGGUCAAAGUCAACCCCUGACUGACCCUACUCGCCGAGUCAACCCGAUGACUCGCCGAGUUCCCAUACUCAGAGCUCACUCAAUCCGCG